rnacentral:rRNA from 1 species
AGAGUUUGAUCCUGGCUCAGGAUGAACGCUGGCGGCGUGCCUAACACAUGCAAGUCGAACGGACUUAUAACGAAACCUAGUGAAUUAUAAGUUAGUGGCGGACGGGUGAGUAACGCGUGGAAAACCUGCCGUAUACUGGGGGAUAACACUUAGAAAUAGGUGCUAAUACCGCAUAAGCGCACAGCUUCGCAUGAAGCAGUGCGAAAAACUCCGGUGGUAUACGAUGGUUCCGCGUCUGAUUAGCUAGUUGGUGAGGUAAAAGCCCACCAAGGCGACGAUCAGUAGCCGGCCUGAGAGGGUGAACGGCCACAUUGGGACUGAGACACGGCCCAGACUCCUACGGGAGGCAGCAGUGGGGGAUAUUGCACAAUGGGGGAAACCCUGAUGCAGCGACGCCGCGUGAGUGAAGAAGUAUUUCGGUACGUAAAGCUCUAUCAGCAGGGAAGAAUAAUGACGGUACCUGACUAAGAAGCCCCGGCUAACUACGUGCCAGCAGCCGCGGUAAUACGUAGGGGGCAAGCGUUAUCCGGAUUUACUGGGUGUAAAGGGAGCGUAGACGGCUGUGCAAGUCUGAAGUGAAAUGCCGGGGCUCAACCCCGGAACUGCUUUGGAAACUGUACAGCUAGAGUGCAGGAGGGGUGAGCGGAAUUCCUAGUGUAGCGGUGAAAUGCGUAGAUAUUAGGAGGAACACCAGUGGCGAAGGCGGCUCACUGGACUGUAACUGACGUUGAGGCUCGAAAGCGUGGGGAGCAAACAGGAUUAGAUACCCUGGUAGUCCACGCCGUAAACAAUAAUUACUAGGUGUCGGGGGGCAAGGGCCUUUCGGUGCCGGGGGCAAACGCCAUUAAGUAAUCCACCUGGGGAGACGCUUCGCAAGAAUGAAACUCAAAAGGAAUUGACGGGGGCCCGCACAAGCGGUGGAGCAUGUGGUUUAUUUCGAAGCUACGGGAAGAACCUUACCAGGUCUUGACAUCUUGCGCUAACCUUAGAGAUAAGGCGUUCCCUUCGGGGACGCAAUGACAGGUGGUGCAUGGUCGUCGUCAGCUCGUGUCGUGAGAUGUUGGGUUAAGUCCCGCAACGAGCGCAACCCUUGUUACUAGUUGCCAGCAUUAAGUUGGGCACUCUAGUGAGACUGCCGGUGACAAACCGGAGGAAGGUGGCGCCCACGUCAGAUCAUUAUGCCCCUUAUGACCUGGGCUACACACGUGCUACAAUGGACGGUACAACGAGUCGCAAGCUCGCGAGAGUAAGCUAAUCUCUUAAAGCCGUUCUCAGUUCGGACUGUAGGCUGCAACUCGCCUACACGAAGUCGGAAUCGCUAGUAAUCGCGGAUCAGCAUGCCGCGGUGAAUACGAACCCGGGCCUUGCACACACCGCCCGUCA